CCUACGGGAGGCAGCAGUGGGGAAUAUUGGACAAUGGGCGCAAGCCUGAUCCAGCCAUGCCGCGUGUGUGAAGAAGGCCUUCGGGUUGUAAAGCACUUUUGUCCGGAAAGAAAUCCUGUCGGUUAAUACCCGGCGGGGAUGACGGUACCGGAAGAAUAAGCACCGGCUAACUUCGUGCCAGCAGCCGCGGUAAUACGAAGGGUGCAAGCGUUACUCGGAAUUACUGGGCGUAAAGCGUGCGUAGGUGGUUCGUUAAGUCUGUCGUGAAAGCCCCGGGCUCAACCUGGGAAUGGCGAUGGAUACUGGCGGGCUAGAGUGCGGUAGAGGGUGGUGGAAUUCCCGGUGUAGCAGUGAAAUGCGUAGAGAUCGGGAGGAACAUCAGUUGCGAAGGCGGCCACCUGGACCAGCACUGACACUGAGGCACGAAAGCGUGGGGAGCA
rnacentral:rRNA from 1 species